GACGAACGCUGGCGGCGUGCUUAACACAUGCAAGUCGAACGGAAAGGCCCUGCUUUUGUUGGGUGCUCGAGUGGCGAAAGGGUGAGUAACACGUGAGUAACCUGCGCUUGACUUUUGUAUAACUUCGGGAAAAUGGGGCGAAUACCCGAGAGGAGCUCCGGCUGCAGGAUGAGGGGUCGAAGGAUGAGGCGGUUGGGGAUGGGCUCGCGGGUUAUGAGCUUGUGGGUGGAGUAGUGGCGUACCAAGGCUUUGACGGGUAUCCGGCCUGAGAGUGUGACCGGCCACAUUGGGACUGAGAUACGGCCCAGAGUCGUACGGGAGGCAGCAGUGGGGACUAUUGCACAAUGGGGGGAAGCCUGAUGCAGCAACGCCGCGUGCGGGAUGACGGCCUUCGGGUUGAAAACCGCUUUCGCCUGUGACGAAGCGUGAGUGACGGUAAUGGGUAAAGAAGCACCGGCUAACUACGUG
rnacentral:rRNA from 1 species